rnacentral:rRNA from 1 species
UACGGAGGAUCCAAGCGUUAUCCGGAAUCAUUGGGUUUAAAGGGUCCGUAGGCGGUUUGGUAAGUCAGUGGUGGAAGCCCAUCGCUCAACGGUGGAACGGCCAUUGAUACUGCUAGACUUGAAUUAUUAGGAAGUAACUAGAAUAUGUAGUGUAGCGGUGAAAUGCUUAGAGAUUACUUAGAACACCAAUUGCGAAGGCAGGUUACCAUGAUUUAACUGACGCUGAGGGACGAAAGCGUGGGUAGCGAACAGG